rnacentral:rRNA from 1 species
AACGAACGCUGGCGGCGCGCCUAAUACAUGCAAGUCGAGCGAGAAGACGUAGCAAUACGUUUGUAAAGCGGCGAACGGGUGAGGAAUACAUGGGUAACCUACCCUCGAGUGGGGAAGUAACUAGCCGAAAGGUUAGCUAAUACCGCGUACGCUCCUUGGACUUCGGUUCGAGGGAGGGAAAGACGAUACCGUGGGUAUCGCGCUCUUGGAUGGGCUCAUGUCCUAUCAGCUUGUUGGNGAGGUAACGGCUCACC